GCUCCCGGAUGUUAGCGGCGGACGGGUGAGUAACACGUGGGUAACCUGCCUGUAAGACUGGGAUAACUCCGGGAAACCGGAGCUAAUACCGGAUAGUUCCUUGAACCGCAUGGUUCAAGGAUGAAAGACGGUUUCGGCUGUCACUUACAGAUGGACCCGCGGCGCAUUAGCUAGUUGGUGGGGUAAUGGCUCACGAAGGCGACGAUGCGUAGCCGACCUGAGAGGGUGAUCGGCCACACUGGGACUGAGACACGGCCCAGACUCCUACGGGAGGCAGCAGUAGGGAAUCUUCCGCAAUGGACGAAAGUCUGACGGAGCAACGCCGCGUGAGUGAUGAAGGUUUUCGGAUCGUAAAGCUCUGUUGUUAGGGAAGAACAAGUGCGAGAGUAACUGCUCGCACCUUGACGGUACCUAACCACAAAUCCACGGCUAACUACGUGCCAGCAGCCGCGGUAAUACGUACGUCGCAGUUCGUUCUCAAUAAAUUAUUGGGCGUAAACGGCUCGG
rnacentral:rRNA from 1 species